rnacentral:rRNA from 1 species
GAUGAACGCUGGCGGCGUGCCUAAUACAUGCAAGUCGAGCGAACAGACGAGGAGCUUGCUCCUCUGACGUUAGCGGCGGACGGGUGAGUAACACGUGGAUAACCUACCUAUAAGACUGGGAUAACUUCGGGACACCGGAGCUAAUACCGGAUAAUAUAUUGAACCGCAUGGUUCAAUAGUGAAAGUCGGUUUUGCUGUCACUUAUAGAUGGAUCCGCGCCGCAUUAGCUAGUUGGUAAGGUAACGGCUUACCAAGGCAACGAUGCGUAGCCGACCUGAGAGGGUGAUCGGCCACACUGGAACUGAGACACGGUCCAGACUCCUACGGGAGGCAGCAGUAGGGAAUCUGCCGCAAUGGGCGAAAGCCUGACGGAGCAACGCCGCGUGAGUGAUGAAGGUCUUCGGAUCGUAAAACUCUGUUAUUAGGGAAGAACAAAUGUGUAAGUAACUAUGCACGUCUUGACGGUACCUAAUCAGAAAGCCACGGCUAACUACGUG